AUUGAACGCUGGCGGCAGGCCUAACACAUGCAAGUCGAGCGGAGCGGCGGACGGGUGAGUAAUGCCUAGGAAUCUGCCUGGUAGUGGGGGAUAACGUCCGGCAACGGGCGCUAAUACCGCAUACUAUCAGAUGAGCCUAGGUCGGAUUAGCUAGUUGGUGGGGUAAAGGCCUACCAAGGCGACGAUCCGUACCUGGUCUGAGAGGAUGAUCAGUCAAACGGGAACUGAGACACGGUCCAGACCCCAAGGGGAGGCAGAAGGGGGGAACAUUGGAAAAGGGGCGAAAGCCUGCUCCAGCCAUGCCGGGGGUGUGAAGAAGGUUUCCGGUUUGUAAAGCCCUUUAAGUUGGGAGGCGGUACCAGCAUAAUAAGCACCGGCUAACUUCGUGCCAGCAGCCGCGGUAAUAC
rnacentral:rRNA from 1 species